CUAAUACUCCCUCCGUUCCAAAUUACUCGUCGUAGAAAUCAAUGUAUCUAGAACUAAAAUACAUCUAGAUACAUCCAUACUUGUGACAAGUAAUUCGAAACGGAGGAAGUAGAAC
rnacentral:pre_miRNA from 1 species